GAUGAACGCUGGCGGCGUGCCUAAUACAUGCUAGUCGAGCGAACGGACGAGAAGCUUGCUUCUCUGAUGUUAGCGGCGGACGGGUGAGUAACACGUGGAUAACCUACCUAUAAGACUGGGAUAACUUCGGGAAACCGGAGCUAAUACCGGAUAAUAUUUUGAACCGCAUGGUUCAAAAGUGAAAGACGGUCUUGCUGUCACUUAUAGAUGGAUCCGCGCUGCAUUAGCUAGUUGGUAAGGUAACGGCUUACCAAGGCAACGAUGCAUAGCCGACCUGAGAGGGUGAUCGGCCACACUGGAACUGAGACACGGUCCAGACUCCUACGGGAGGCAGCAGUAGGGAAUCUUCUGCAAUGGGCGAAAGCCUGACGGAGCAACGCCGCGUGAGUGAUGAAGGUCUUCGGAUCGUAAAACUCUGUUAUUAGGGAAGAACAUAUGUGUAAGUAACUGUGCACAUCUUGACGGUACCUAAUCAGAAAGCCACGGCUAACUACGUG
rnacentral:rRNA from 1 species